rnacentral:rRNA from 1 species
CAGCAGCCACGGGAAUACAGAGGGUGCGAGCGUUAAUCGGAUUUACUGGGCGUAAAGCGUGCGUAGGCGGCUAAUUGAGUCGGAUGUGAAAUCCCCGAGCUUAACUUGGGAAUUGCAUUCGAUACUGGUUAGCUAGAGUGUGGGAGAGGAUGGUAGAAUUCCAGGUGUAGCGGUGAAAUGCGUAGAGAUCUGGAGGAAUACAGAUGGCGAAGGCAGCCAUCUGGCCUAACACUGACGCUGAGGUACGAAAGCAUGGGGAGCAAACAGGAUUAGAUACCCGCGUAGUCCCUGUCUCUUAUAA